AAAUCGUCUCCACCAAAAGAAAAAAACAGAAGAAACCGGACGCUCGAGAGGCAUCCAGCUGCAGCCCCGCAGACUCACUUCUUGCUAGACACCAGUGGCUGGACACCAGUGGAUGGACAGCAGACGUCAUUUCCGUAUCAUCAUUCACUUUUCAAAUUGACGUAAUUUCCGUACCGUCGUUCACUUUUCAAUUUUGACGCGCCAUGCAGAUGUCAGCGGUGUGGUGAAUGUCAAAAAACUGCCCCAGGCUGUAAGAGACAUGUGUGUCCCUUUUAAAAUUGUACAAUGCAGAAAUUGCAGAUGUUUUUUCAAAGACUGGGUGGGGUACUGUGGAAACGGAAGAUGUGGAGACCUGCAAGGGUUUUAAACAGACCCUGAAUUUCCUGAGCAUUGCCCAGACUGCCAGUUUUAGGGGGCAGGAAUGAGGUGUGGUGUGUACAGUGUGCAAUAGUCUAUUUGGAACUGUUCAUGUUUUAUUUUCUCUUGAAAUAGGGCCUGACUGUUCUGAUGGUCAGAUUUGACAAGUUUUACUAAUUAGAUUGUGUAAUUUGUUUGAUUGUGUAAUUGUGUAAUUCCAAUAAAUAUUGCAAAACCAUGAAGUGUUAAUUUGAUCUGGAUUGUUUGGUAAAUUGUCUGAUCAUGUGAAUCUACGUAUAUUUUCAAAACAGAAGUGGUUACAUUUACAAAA